AUCCUUAUCUGGGAGCAGAGGCACUCUGAGCACAAAGGUAGUUUUCACAACAUAUAGCUUAUACUUUGCACUUUGGCUGGGCCAACAUCAUCAACAUCCCAUAUGUGGAGAACUCAGCCUCAAACUUUGUAGUAGUGAGGGACUGAUGGUGCUCAUGCUUCCU